CAGUUCGGAUUGAAGGCUGAAAUUCGCCUUCAUGAAGCCGGAAUUGCUAGUAAUGGCAGGUCAGCAUACUGCCGUGAAUACGUUCCCGGGCCUUGUACACACCGCCCGUCACACCAUGAGAGUUGGGAAUACCCGAAGCCUGUGAGCUAACGCAAGAGGCAGCAGUCGAAGGUAGAAUCAAUGAUUGGGGUGAAGUCGUAACAAGGUACC
rnacentral:rRNA from 1 species